GAUGAACGCUAGCUACAGGCUUAACACAUGCAAGUCGAGGGGCAGCAUGGUCUUAGCUUGCUAAGGCCGAUGGCGACCGGCGCACGGGUGAGUAACACGUAUCCAACCUGCCGUCUACUCUUGGACAGCCUUCUGAAAGGAAGAUUAAUACAAGAUGGCAUCAUGAGUCCACAUGUUCACAUGAUUAAAGGUAUUCCGGUAGACGAUGGGGAUGCGUUCCAUUAGAUAGUAGGCGGGGUAACGGCCCACCUAGUCUUCGAUGGAUAGGGGUUCUGAGAGGAAGGUCCCCCACAUUGGAACUGAGACACGGUCCAAACUCCUACGGGAGGCAGCAGUGAGGAAUAUUGGUCAAUGGGCGAGAGCCUGAACCAGCCAAGUAGCGUGAAGGAUGACUGCCCUAUGGGUUGUAAACUUCUUUUAUAAAGGAAUAAAGUCGGGUAUGCAUACCCGUUUGCAUGUACUUUAUGAAUAAGGAUCGGCUAACUCCGUGCCAGCAGCCGCGGUAAUACGGAGGAUCCGAGCGUUAUCCGGAUUUAUUGGGUUUAAAGGGAGCGUAGAUGGAUGUUUAAGUCAGUUGUGAAAGUUUGCGGCUCAACCGUAAAAUUGCAGUUGAUACUGGAUAUCUUGAGUGCAGUUGAGGCAGGCGGAAUUCGUGGUGUAGCGGUGAAAUGCUUAGAUAUCACGAAGAACUCCGAUUGCGAAGGCAGCCUGCUAAGCUGCAACUGACAUUGAGGCUCGAAAGUGUGGGUAUCAAACAGGAUUAGAUACCCUGGUAGUCCACACGGUAAACGAUGAAUACUCGCUGUUUGCGAUAUACAGCAAGCGGCCAAGCGAAAGCGUUAAGUAUUCCACCUGGGGAGUACGCCGGCAACGGUGAAACUCAAAGGAAUUGACGGGGGCCCGCACAAGCGGAGGAACAUGUGGUUUAAUUCGAUGAUACGCGAGGAACCUUACCCGGGCUUAAAUUGCAGAUGAAUUACGGUGAAAGCCGUAAGCCGCAAGGCAUCUGUGAAGGUGCUGCAUGGUUGUCGUCAGCUCGUGCCGUGAGGUGUCGGCUUAAGUGCCAUAACGAGCGCAACCCUUGUUGUCAGUUACUAACAGGUUCUGCUGAGGACUCUGACAAGACUGCCAUCGUAAGAUGUGAGGAAGGUGGGGAUGACGUCAAAUCAGCACGGCCCUUACGUCCGGGGCUACACACGUGUUACAAUGGGGGGGUACAGAGGGCCGCUACCACGCGAGUGGAUGCCAAUCCCAAAAACCUCUCUCAGUUCGGACUGGAGUCUGCAACCCGACUCCACGUAGCUGGAUUCGCUAGUAAUCGCGCAUCAGCCACGGCGCGGUGAAUACGUUCCCGGGCCUUGUACACACCGCCCGUCAAGCCAUGGGAGCCGGGGGUACCUGAAGUGCGUAACCGCGAGGAGCGCCCUAGGGUAAAACUGGUGACUGGGGCU
rnacentral:rRNA from 1 species